UACAGAGGGGGCAAGCGUUGUUCGGAAUUACUGGGCGUAAAGCGUGCGCAGGCGGUUUUGUAAGCCAGAUGUGAAAUCCCCGGGCUUAACCUGGGAAUGGCAUUUGGGACUGCAAGGCUUGAGUGCGGCAGAGGAGACUGGAAUUCCUGGUGUAGCAGUGAAAUGCGUAGAUAUCAGGAGGAACACCGAUGGCGAAGGCAGGUCUCUGGGCUGACACUGACGCUCAUGCACGAAAGGCGUGGGGAGCAAACAGG
rnacentral:rRNA from 1 species